UGUGAAUUUGAGUAAGACUCAAAGCUCGACCAUGGAAAAAGAAAGAGAAAGGACGAAGGUCGUGCCAUAUGCCUUAGCCAUAUGCUCUAUAGUAUGCCAUGCUAUGUACCGUACCGCACCUGAUGUAUGCCUUGCCAUGAGUAUGUCAAGGGGUACAAGAGUGAUCCAGGAAUGGAUCACUCGACAGCGGUCAAAACUAUCCUUAGUAGUUUGAGGACUAAGGAAAUGCUUCUCGAUUAUGGAGGUGAUAAAAGAGUUCGUCGUAAAGGGUUGCGUUGAUGCAAGCUUUGACACCAAUCCGGAUGACUCUGAGUAGCAGACCGGAUUCGUAUAAGGGAGCAGUCAUAUGGCACAGUUCCAAAUGGAGUAUGGUAGCAGCAUCUACAAUAUGACAUAGAGUUUUGUAAAGCAUACACGGAUC
rnacentral:lncRNA from 1 species